rnacentral:rRNA from 1 species
UACGAAGGGGGCUAGCGUUGUUCGGAAUUACUGGGCGUAAAGCGUGCGCAGGCGGUUUUCCAAGUCAGUGGUGAAAGCCCGGAGCUCAACUCCGGAACUGCCAUUGAAACUGUGAAACUAGAGUACGAGAGAGGUGAGUGGAAUUCCCAGUGUAGAGGUGAAAUUCGUAGAUAUUGGGAAGAACACCAGUGGCGAAGGCGGCUCACUGGCUCGUAACUGACGCUCAGGCGCGACAGCGUGGGGAUCAAACAGG